rnacentral:rRNA from 1 species
UGUCUAUUAAUUGUAGACCAGCAUGAAAGGCAAUAUGAGGGUCUAACUGUCUCUUAUAAUAAAUCAAUUAAACUGAUCUUCUAGUAAAAAAGCUAGAAUUACACCAUAAGACCAGAAGACCCUGUGAAGCUUAAACUAAACUAUUAAAACAAAUAAUAGCUAUUUUCGGUUGGGGCGACCUUGGAAAAAAAAAGAACUUCCAUAAACCAAUAACUACCACGCAGGCCCACAAGCCACACAUAUGACCCAGCAUAGCUGAUCAUUGAACCAAGUUACUCCAGGGAUAACAGCGCUAUCUUCUUCAAGAGCCCAUAUCAAAAAGAAGGUUUACGACCUCGAUGUUGGAUCAGGACAUCCUAACGGCGCA